rnacentral:rRNA from 1 species
UACGUAGGGAGCGAGCGUUGUUCGGAAUUACUGGGCGUAAAGCGCACGUAGGCGGCUUUGUAAGUUAGAGGUGAAAGCCCGGGGCUCAACUCCGGAAUUGCCUUUAAGACUGCAUCGCUCGAAUUGUGGAGAGGUAAGUGGAAUUCCGAGUGUAGAGGUGAAAUUCGUAGAUAUUCGGAAGAACACCAGUGGCGAAGGCGACUUACUGGACACAUAUUGACGCUGAGGUGCGAAAGCGUGGGGAGCAAACAGG